UUGUCCCAGCCGCCGCGGUAAUACGUAGGGUGCAAGCGUUAUCCGGAAUUAUUGGGCGUAAAGGGCUCGUAGGCGGUUCGUCGCGUCCGGUGUGGAAGUCCAUCGCUUAACGGUGGAUCCGCGCCGGGUACGGGCGGGCUUGAGUGCGGUAGGGGAGACUGGAAUUCCCGGUGUAACGGUGGAAUGUGUAGAUAUCGGGAAGAACACCAAUGGCGAAGGCAGGUCUCUGGGCCGUUACUGACGCUGAGGAGCGAAAGCGUGGGGAGCGAACAGGAUUAGAUACCCUGGUAGUCCACGCCGUAAACGGUGGAUGCUGGAUGUGGGGCCCGUUCCACGGGUUCCGUGUCGGAGCUAACGCGUUAAGCAUCCCGCCUGGGGAGUACGGCCGCAAGGCUAAAACUCAAAGAAAUUGACGGGGGCCCGCACAAGCGGCGGAGCAUGCGGAUUAAUUCGAUGCAACGCGAAGAACCUUACCUGGGCUUGACAUGUUCCCGACGAUCCCAGAGAUGGGGUUUCCCUUCGGGGCGGGUUCACAGGUGGUGCAUGGUCGUCGUCAGCUCGUGUCGUGAGAUGUUGGGUUAAGUCCCGCAACGAGCGCAACCCUCGCCCCGUGUUGCCAGCGGAUUAUGCCGGGAACUCACGGGGGACCGCCGGGGUUAACUCGGAGGAAGGUGGGGAUGACGUCAGAUCAUCAUGCCCCUUACGUCCAGGGCUUCACGCAUGCUACAAUGGCCGGUACAACGGGAUGCGACAGUGCGAGCUGGAGCGGAUCCCUGAAAACCGGUCUCAGUUCGGAUCGCAGUCUGCAACUCGACUGCGUGAAGGCGGAGUCGCUAGUAAUCGCGAAUCAGCAACGUCGCGGUGAAUGCGUUCCCGGGCCUUGUACACACCGCCCGUCAAGUCAUGAAAGUGGGCAGCACCCGAAGCCGGUGGCCUAACCCCUUGCGGGAGGGUGCCGUCUAAGGUGAGGCUCGUGAUUGGGACUAAGUCGUAACAAGGUAACCAAUCGA
rnacentral:rRNA from 1 species